CCAAUAUCAAGUGCUCCUGAUGCUUGGUUUGAUGUAGUUGAACGCUACUCGAAUGAUAAUAACAAGACACUAAAACGGACCGCACAAGUGAGUAGAUGUCUCAACUUGGGAUCAUACAACUACCUUGGUUUUGCUGCAGCUGAUGAAUACUGCACGCCUCGAGUAGUUGAGACAUUGAAGAAGUAUUCACCGAGCACGUGCAGCAGCAGGGUGGAUGGGGGCACAACUGCGCUUCACAAUGAGUUGGAGG